rnacentral:sRNA from 1 species
AAAACAAAGCCGUAAACUAAAGCUAAUCGAAGAAUCAAAAGCAACACAAAGCAAGCAAAGCAACACAAAGCAACAUAAGCAAAACAAAGCUGUAAACUGUAGCUAAUCGAAGAAUCAAAAGCAACACAAAGCAAGCAAAGCAACACAAAGC